AACAAGCUGAAAUCUACCAUUUAAGGCAGAUUACUAUAUAAACUAGAAUUAAGGGAAAGUGUAAAGUCUCAAAACAGAACAUUUGACUAGAUAAAAUAAGGAUAAAAGCAAACUGUUAAAAAGACACCAUAAGAACAAACUAACACAUUAUCUCUUCUUUAACGGAGGUACACAAGUCAUGGAAUCCAUUCCGGCUGAUCCAGUCCUGGACUCCGCUCCUCCUCCUCCGAUACGCUCCAGACCCAGAUCCAGCCAAGGAUGAAGACUACGCUGAUGUUAAAACUGCUGCUGAAACACGACACCAUAAGCCAGAGAGAGAUGAUGAACUAAUGCAACAUUAAAGACCUACAGAAGCACUGUUCUGGUCCGGUAACAGUAAUGCAACACAUCGUAUUGCCCAGUCAUGGAAAUGCCAAUUAUAAAAGGAAUAUUUGGUAUUUGGAACAUUGUUGAAGCGACGGGUCACGUGACAGCCGCACAUGCAAUUGGAGCAGUUUGGACCGUUUAUCAAAGACUGAACACAGGCACACAGGCUGAAACACGUCUCAGGUGUGUGGAAGUUAUUCACCCAGCGCUCACUGCAUCUGCAGAGAAACACAGAAAGAGGUCUCUGGUGGUGAUUAACAACAAGCCUCCUCCAGUUACACUUCUUUUAGAUAAAGCUGCUGAUAAAGUCAGACGGACAGAGACAGCUGAAAAUGUUAUUUUAUAAUCAUGUUUCAUUCUGACCAGUGAGAACAGCCAACAUUUGUACUGGUGCUGAUGGGAUCCUGAUAAAAACUGAUCUUUCCAAUAACUAGUUACAAAAUGUUUGUGUUUGCUGUCAGUUACAGAUGUCAGAAAGAGAGAAAUCUGGUCGUGGAUUUCAUCAGGAAAGAUUUCCUCAGCUAUCUCAGCACAGCAGGAGCAAAGAAAGACAGAAACCUUCAGUCCAGAGCCUUGACCCAACCAGAGAAGGACGUCCUGCCAUCACACCGCAGCAGCUACCUACAGUGGACCACAGAGUUGGUCUGGUCCUCUUGGAAAGAAAACUGUUGGUGUUUUGACAGAGUGAUUAGAUUUUGAGUCAGGUUUGCUGUGUUUUGAUAGAGUUGGUGUUUAAAGAACAAAAUGUGGUUUUGAGCAUUUGGCUAAUUGUGUGAGAGUAAGAGUGUCGAUAAAGUUUCUUAAGUUUAGUUAAACGUUUGUCAGCAAUUGAAAAAAACUGUAAACACAGGACAAGCAAGAGUUUGCAGCAGUGAGGUAAAACUUUACUCUGUUUACUUUACUUGUCAGGAGUUACGCCAGAACCCAGAUGCAGACACGAAGACAAUGCAGCAGUUAACAGUUUAUUGAGUGGCAGGGCGUCUCCUGAGGGCUGGCGUGGCUGAGAGGGAGGGUUGGAUCUCGGCUUCGAGACAACAAACGGUCAGAACGUAUCUUGGUCUCUUGGUCACUGACGACCAAGGUACGUUUUAACCGUUUGUUUUUUUGGUGUAAUUAACAAAGGCAGAAACCAGAAACCGGCCGUUUUCUUUCAGUUUUGGGCCCAAAACGUAAAAACAACAUUCAGCUUGAUUUCUUCUUUUUGUUGUUUUUUAAAUCAAAAAACCUAAUUCAGCACAAUGUCUCGUUUUCCUCUUGAGAGAACAGAACUCAUCCUGCCGUGUUUAAAGACUCAUCACACCUGAUCUGGUCUAGUUUUAUACUCAAGACUGCCGACGUUUGAACAAAUUCCUGAGUUAGAGACAGAGGAUUUGCACCUUUGCAGCCACAGAUUCUCCUCUAUCAUCCUCUCUGUACCUGAUGUGAAAACUAGCCUUGAUGGAAGAUGCGAGCCAAUAAGACUAAUAAUAAUAAUAAUAAUAAUAAUGCAUUACAUUUAAACAGUUCUUCAACCUUGGAAACUCAAAGCGCUGCACAGUGAAGUGGGGGGGACUCACCUCAACCAAUGUGUGGCCCCCACCUGGGUGAUGCACACAUCAUCAGUGCGCUCGUACCUUUGUGCAUUGCUAUAAUAAUAGUGUAAAAAACACCAGCUGACUGAUGAGCUGCAGACUCACAGCAGAGAGGGGACGUGGACGUGGGUCACGUCUCGGUCCCGGUUUCUUUUCCUAUUGAUGUCUGAGGGUUUUCUUUAACCUUUUCCUUUCAUGCUUAGAGAGGCUGCUGUCGGUCAUUUUGAACAUCAAGUCGUACGCACGAUGCUUCUGAGGUGGCAGACCCAGAUGAGCAGGAGCUGGGAUGCUCUCUCAGCAGGGAGUCUCCGGUCACCUCGCUGCAGAGGCAGCCUGCACAGCAGCCGGCCGGUCUGCGCAAACUCCACAAAGUCUUUCAGGGUCCUGGAGACCUCCUGCAGACGCCGGGAUCCGAGGACGACUCCCUCCAUGUGGUCCGUGACCCCGCGGCACGGUGUAAAUCUUUCUUGCAGAACGCAGAACCGUCAGUGUCCAUGAACAACAUGUUCAACAGUCACUUUAAAUGUGUCGUUCUGAAGAGUUUACUGAUGUCUCAACAUGAAGUCGAUGCCUCAACACCACCGGAUUAACAUCAGCAUGUUCCUGACAACAUUAAAUGAUAUUAUGAAAUGUUA